rnacentral:misc_RNA from 1 species
UUAUCAAAAGGGAAGCGUUACAGAGUGGUGCCUCUAUCCCAUGCUUUCCUUCGUCCGUUAAAUCAUUUUUUAUCCUACACUACUACGUAUUAUGUUACCGUAUUUCCUGAAUGGCAUUGUUUCGAAAACCUCUCCGUGUUACUAAAAUUGCGCGCGGUCGUGUUCGCGGUGGCGGUGGUGCUCGUCGCCGCUCUGCUUGUGGCUGCCGAUCCCGACCCCGGCUUCAAGGGAGGACACGGCAAGAGACACGUAGGCUACGGGAAAGGCGGACACGUCAAGGGCCACGGGAAAGGACACGGUGGCUACGGACAAGGAGGAGGAGGAGGAGGAGGAUAUGGACAAAGCUCGGGAGGAUACGGCAAAGGACACGGUGGACACUUCAAAGGACUCGGAUCUUAUGGUAAAGGUUUCAAAGGAUUCCAUAUAGGAUUGAAAGGACUGUCCAAAGGAUUUAAAAGCUUUUACAAAGGUGGACACAGAGGAUACGGUGGAGGGAAAGGUGGGUAUGGAAAAGGAAGCGGGAAGGGCAAAGGAAGCGGAGGAUAUAGCCACAGGUGAAGAACUAGUGUGUUAGAUGAGAAGGUAAGGAAUCUCAAAACGAUGUUUCAGUGAGGUAAUGUUGUCCGUUGUGUUUACGGAUGGUUAAUGUUCAUGUGAUGCUUUCUACCCCAGGGCAUCGGCCUUGCCUUAGUUUUAUAUAAUUGUUUACUUGGAAAACAGUAGAGGAAUGUUAUACUUUCAAUAACAGCGUAUAAGCAAGGAACAGUUAUGGCAAUUAUAGAUAACAAACAAUGCUUAUGAUAAUAUAAAUGGCAAAGUGUAGUCUCCUAUUAAAUUGUUUAAUAUCAAAUGGCUGAAUAAGUAUAAUUUCACAACCUAGACAUUCCUUGUAUUGAUCUUAUGAUGUUUCAUAUUUCAUUAUAAUCAUGUUGGUAUACAUACAAUGAUUACAAAAAGUUACAAUACUACUACUACUAAGUCUAUGAUAUAUUACAGUCUUGUAUUGUGUAAUUGUGGGUGUUAUUAAGUUUACAGUGUUGGAAUAGAAUGUUAUUGGUUAUGUAGGUUUACAUAUUUCAGUGUAGCUAUAACGAUUAGUUUGUCUAUAUACGCAAUGUAUUAAGUCUAUGUAUGAAUAAAGAUUAAUGGCCAAAA